rnacentral:rRNA from 1 species
UNAAUACACAAGGGGGCCGCACAAAAUCGGAGGCCCCGGCUGNUUAUUAAAAACACAACACAGUGCAAUCAUUAAUAUGAUAGUAUACUGUGUGAAAUUUGCCCGAUGCCAUUAAUAUAAGAGCGGUCAUGGGAAACUGUGACUAAUCGAAAAUCUGGUUAAUAGCGGUCUUAACUAUGAGGAUCCUAAGGUAGCAAAAUCAGUUGGCCAUUAAAUGUGGUCCGGUAUCAAUAAUGUAACGAUGGCCUCACUGUCUCUACAACUUGCUCAGUGAAAUNGNAUUACACGUGCAGAUGCGUGNUGCCUCCAGGGGCACCGAUC